UACGUAGGGAGCAAGCGUUGUCCAGAAUCAUUGGGCGUAAAGCGCGCGUAGGUGGCUUCGUAAGUCCGUUGUGAAAGUCAAAGGCUCAACCUUUGAAAGCCGAUGGAUACUGCGGAGCUAGAGUACGGAAGAGGCGAGUGGAAUUCCUGGUGUAGCGGUGGAAUGCGCAGAUAUCAGGAGGAACACCAAUAGCGAAGGCAGCUCGCUGGGACGUUACUGACACUGAGGCGCGAAAGCGUGGGGAGCGAACAGG
rnacentral:rRNA from 1 species